UACGUAGGGGGCUAGCGUUGUCCGGAAUCAUUGGGCGUAAAGCGCGUGUAGGCGGUCCGGUAAGUCCGCUGUGAAAGUCGGGGGCUCAACCCUCGGAUGCCGGUGGAUACUGUCGGGCUUGAGUACGGAAGAGGCGAGUGGAAUUCCUGGUGUAGCGGUGAAAUGCGCAGAUAUCAGGAGGAACACCGAUUGCGAAGGCAGCGCGCUGGGACGUUACUGACGCUGAGACGCGAAAGCGUGGGGAGCAAACAGG
rnacentral:rRNA from 1 species